rnacentral:lncRNA from 1 species
GUGGGCUGGCAGCUGCAGCUCUGAUUCAGCCACUAGCCUGGGAACUUCCAUAUGCUGCAGGUGUAGCCAUAAAAAGAAAAGUGAAAAACUUAUAUGUAGAUUUUUGACUCCAUAGAGGGUGGGCAUCCCUAAUCCCCACUCUGUUCAAAGGUCAUCUGUUUUCCCUCCAAAGACAUAACCCCCACCCCCCCAUCUUUGCCUCCAUCCCUGGGGGCUGAUGAGCCUGGCUGGCUCAAGGAAUCACAGCAUCACUUCCAGCCUCAGCCAGUUUGCUGAGUCCCAGCCUCUGGGGCACAGACCGUUCUCUCAACCUUGGCCAGGUGCCUGACGGUUGUUGCAGAAGCAGCAGGCCAGAACGUGUGGCUAGAAAAGGAAAAAAUCCCUCUCUACUCCUGGGAAAACAGCUCCUCGUUUACAUGCCGAUGGCAGUGGCUUAGCAGUGUCAUCUUGAAAAGGCAGGGAUAAGGUGGCUUUAAUCGAGGAAGAGAUUUGUCCCACCACUCACGCCUUUAAUCCGCUCGGGCAGAAUUCGCUCCCAGAGUGGGCACGUUUUGAAACAGGGGCUCACAUCGCAAGACUUGCAGCUGAGACCCCAGAGAAGUGAUUACUAAGCCUGAAGCUGUGUAGACUGCUAAUGGCCUUUGAACGCUGCGCAGAUUGCAGGAUGCCCUUGGAACCCGGUUGUCCACAGAAGUCCUGCAAAGGCUCCUCUGGUUGAUCUCUAACCUGAGUCCCCUGAAACACAUCACAGUCGUACAGAAAAUGCUCAAAGUUACGAGACAGCUACUAUUUCUGCUUGCGGACCCAGCAAACAUCGCUUGUGUUUAGAAUUUGGCUGUAUUCCUCUUGACUUUCAGAAAUGCAUCGACACUGCAGCACUGUUUGCUUCCUAUUGGCGUCUCCCCAGCAAUAGCCCACCUUUCUCUCAUUUCGGAAAAGGAAGUGCUUACAAUAUCAAAGAUCACGGAGCAAUCUAGGAAAGUGAGGAGCUGCGAAGAGUCCAGACAUGGCACAGGCCAGACCCCGGUGAUUCCGGAUAGACGCGGGUUCCAUGGAGAGAGAAGUUUGGAAGCCACGCCAGAGAGCUGAAAAAUAAAGGUAGGAACUCCUUUAAUUGCCCCA